rnacentral:ncRNA from 2 species
AUCGAACCAUCUAGUAGCUGG